CCAAAUGGUGACAUUACAUCACUGUCACUGGAAUAGAUCCAUUCAGUGCCCAGCAACUGAAAACCUCCAAAGCAACUGAUUUGCCUAAAUAUUUGUUUAAAUACUACUAAACCACCACAUCACUCAGAGCAAGAAGCACCUUCAGCUCAGGGGUGUAGGAAAGCAAACAAUGGGCAAGGCUGUGAUGGGCUUGUCUGCUCAACCCUGCUCCUUUUUAUUUCAAACUUCAUCUGGAAGAUUUACAGCAGCACUAGCAAUGCUAAGGGAGGACUGUUCAUCCAUUUGCAACUCAAGUUUGGCUGUGAUUUACAUUUGAAGCAGAUAUUUUAAUCCCACAGUUGCAUAUCAGGACCAGACCCAGAAUCACUCCACAGUGCUCAGAUUGCCUUCCCCGGUGAAGCCACCCCUCACCAGGCAGCCUGACCUCAGACAGUGCCAGUGCCACCAGCUGCAGAGGAGCAGACCCCAAAGCCAUGCAGGCUACAGCAACACCCUGCAAAUGUGAGAAACACCAAGUGCUUCAGCUGAGGUGAUGUGAACUGUGGCUUGGGGAGUGAAGAGGAUGGAGAUAUCCCAGUGACAACUCCAGGGUACUACUGAAGAAGCACUAAAACAUUGCACCUUUUCUUCCACACUUCUUUUUGUUUGUUUGUUUGUUUAGUUCAUUCAACAUUUGCUUCUGGCCCAGGUAUGAUGUGAGCAUGGGGCACAGACUCAAAGCAUGAUAAAAUCACGUAAUGAAAUCAUGUUGAGGUGACCCCUUGAGUAACCAACACAUUGCUCAGCUCUCCUGCCAAUGUGCACCACAGAAGUUGAUAGAUGGGCUGCAGCCAAAAAGAAAAGGUGCUGCCAC